UACGUAGGGAGCAAGCGUUGUCCGGAUUUAUUGGGCGUAAAGAGCUCGUAGGCGGUUCGGUAAGUCGGGUGUGAAAACUCUGGGCUCAACCCGGAGAGGCCACUCGAUACUGCCGUGACUUGAGUCUGGUAGGGGAGCACGGAAUUCCUGGUGUAGCGGUGAAAUGCACAGAUAUCAGGAGGAACACCGGUGGCGAAGGCGGUGCUCUGGGCCAGUACUGACGCUGAGGAGCGAAAGCGUGGGGAGCGAGCAGG
rnacentral:rRNA from 1 species